GACGGAGGGUGCUAGCGUUGUUCGGAAUGACUGGGCGUAAAGGGCGCGUAGGCGGCUUGGUCAGUUGGGGGUGAAAUCCCGGGGCUCAACCUCGGAACUGCCUUCAAUACUGCCAGUCUUGAGUCCGAGAGAGGUGAGUGGAAUUCCUAGUGUAGAGGUGAAAUUCGUAGAUAUUAGGAAGAACACCAGUGGCGAAGGCGGCUCACUGGCUCGGUACUGACGCUGAGGUGCGAAAGCGUGGGGAGCAAACAGG
rnacentral:rRNA from 1 species